rnacentral:rRNA from 1 species
AGCAGCCGCGGUAAUUCCAGCUCCAAUAGCGUAUAUUAAAGUUGUUGCAGUUAAAAAGCUCGUAGUUGAAUUUCGGGAUCAGUAUGUUGGUCGUGCUUCGGUACGUACUGUCAUUACUGGUUUCUACCUUCUGAAGAACCUUGAUGUCAUUAAUUUGGUGUCUUGGGGAAUCAGGACUGUUACUUUGAAAAAAUUAGAGUGUUUAAAGCAAGCAUACGCUUGAAUACAUUAGCAUGGAAUAAUGAAAUAGGACGUUUGAUUCUAUUUUGUUGGUUUCUAGGAUCGACGUAAUGAUUAAUAGGGAUAGUUGGGGGCAUUAGUAUUCAAUUGUCAGAGGUGAAAUUCUUGGAUUUAUUGAAGACUAACUACUGCGAAAGCAUUUGCCAAGGAUGUUUUCAUUAAUCAAGAACGAAAGUUAGGGGAUCGAAGACGAUCAGAUACCGUCGUAGUCUUAACCAUAAACUAUGCCGACUAGGGAUCGGGUAGUAGUAGUUAGUUUUUAAUUUUUAAGUACGUACCU